AAACCCUAGAAUUUUGACAGGGUGAGGAGACAAUGUCACAAAGCAUUGAAGAGAUGGGUGGCAAUGAUGCCUUUUCUAACUUCCAGGCUGAAUUGCACAACUUCGGUAAUGGCGGCCAGCGUUUUCUUAGCUGCAGAAAUUAUUAAGUGAAUGUGUAUAUUGCAUUUCCCUUUCAUUAAAUUGUUAUAUAAUAUUUAGUUCAUAAUCAAUAG
rnacentral:misc_RNA from 1 species